rnacentral:rRNA from 1 species
GACGAACGCUGGCGGCGUGCUUAACACAUGCAAGUCGAACGAAGUGGCGAACGGGUUAGUAACGCGUAAUCAACCUGCUCUUCAGAGGGGGACAACAGUUGGAAACGACUGCUAAUACCGCAUACUGAAGGAGGGGCUUGCGUCUGAUUAGCUAGUUGGAGGGGUAACGGCCAGCCAAGGCGAUGUUCAGUAGCCGGUCUGAGAUGAGGAGCGUCCACAUUAGGACGGAGACACGGCCCAGACUCAUACGGGAGGCAGCAGUGGGAAAUCUUCCGCAAAUUACGAAAGUCUGACGGAGCAACGCCGCGGGAGUGAUUACGGCCUUCGGGUUGUAAAGUUCUGUUAAUCGGGACGCGGUACCGGAAUAGAAAGCCACGGCUAACUACGUGCCAGCAGCCGCGGUAAUAC